ACUACAUGCCUGACUGAGGAGUAUUUCCAAACCCACAGAAGCAAGAUGAUCUCAAAGACUCCCCUUCUCUGGCUGCUGCUUUUCUGGUUUCAAGGUUCCAACGGGCAGAUUGUGAUGACUCAGACUCCAGAAUCCCUGGCAGUGUCUCCUGGAGACAGAGUCACCAUGAACUGCAAAGCAAGUUCCAGUGUUAGUGGCUACAUGGCCUGGUACCAACAGAAACCAGGGCAAGCUCCUAAGCUUCUUAUCCGCAGCGCUUCCACCCGUCCCUCUGGGAUCCCAGACCGGUUCAGUGGCAGUGGGUCGGGCACUGAUUUCUCAUUCACCAUCAGCAAGGUUGAAGCUGAUGAUGCUGGAGAUUAUUACUGUCAGCAGUACGAUACGUUACCUCUCACAGUGAUACAGACCAAUACAAAAACCUCCCUGCUCUAUGCAGCAUGA